rnacentral:rRNA from 1 species
UACGAAGGGGGCUAGCGUUGUUCGGAAUUACUGGGCGUAAAGCGCACGUAGGCGGAUCGAUCAGUCAGGGGUGAAAUCCCAGAGCUCAACUCUGGAACUGCCUUUGAUACUGUCGAUCUAGAGUAUGGAAGAGGUGAGUGGAAUUCCGAGUGUAGAGGUGAAAUUCGUAGAUAUCGGGAGGAACACCGGUGGCGAAGGCGGCGACCUGGGUCGAUACUGACGCUGAUGCGCGAAAGCGUGGGGAGCAAACAGG